CAUUUAUUAUUUGUUAUGACGUUUUUAGAGAAUUAUGGAGCAUCAUGUUAAACCCAAGUUCAAUAUGAAAAGCAAACUUCGUGGUGAUAUAAAGAAGGUAUCAUUCGAAAAUAAAAAGUUGUGUAAAGCAAUAAUUUUGAAGUCAUCCAGCUAACGCACGAGAGUUCGACGGAAGCAAACAAAAGAUCAAAUAGGAAGCAUUUUAAAGUUCUCUCCAUUAAACAAUUAUUUAUUUUUGAGUUUUUUUGUAAAUUUAUAAU
rnacentral:lncRNA from 1 species